rnacentral:lncRNA from 1 species
ACGACACGAGGAACAAAACUUCCCAGAGCACGGCUCGGGUUCAGAGCCUGGAAACGGCCCAAAGCGGGCCUUGAACAGUGCUGGAAACCCAUUUUUCCAGCCAUUGUUCUUGGCUGGACGAAGCUCGUCCGGCGGCUAGGGCGGCGAGGGGAGGCCGGCGGAGGGCAAGGGGGACGCCGGGGAGGUCCGGCGAAGUUGGGCGGUGGCCGAAG